AGCAGCCGCGGUAAUUCCAGCUCCAAUAGCGUAUAUUAAAGUUGUUGCAGUUAAAAAGCUCGUAGUUGAAUUUCGGGAUUGACGUGAUGGUCGUGCCUUACGGGGUAUGAACUGUUGCAGUCAAUUUCUCACCUUCUGGAGAAAUAUGAUGUCCUUAAUUGGGUGUCAUAUGGAACCAGAACUUUUACCUUGAAAAAUUAGAGUGUUUAAAGCAGGCUUAUUGCUCGAAUACAUUAGCAUGGAAUAAUAAAAUAGGACGGCAUGGUUCUAUUUUGUUGGUUUCUAGGAUCACCGUAAUGAUUAAUAGGGAUAGUUGGGGGCAUUAGUAUUCAAUUGUCAGAGGUGAAAUUCUUGGAUUUAUUGAAGACUAACUACUGCGAAAGCAUUUGCCAAGGAUGUUUUCAUUAAUCAAGAACGAAAGUUAGGGGAUCGAAGACGAUCAGAUACCGUCGUAGUCUUAACCAUAAACUAUGCCGACUAGGAAUCAGACGAUGUUAAUUUUUAAUGUACUCGUUUGG
rnacentral:rRNA from 1 species